UGAAACAGAGUGAGUGAGCGAUGGGAGGAUGGGUGGAAAAGAGAAGAAAAAAAAGAGAGAGAGAAGGAGGACGAGGGGGAAGGGACCGGACUGUAAAGGCUGCGUUCAACAACAAAAGAAAAGAGUAGAGCGGCCAAACUCUGUUCGGCAAAAAAGGAGGAGGAGGGUCGAGAUAAAACAAGCAAGACGAUGUCAUUCUGCAUGACUUCCAACAGCGUGGCUUCGCCUGACCGACCUUCCUGCAGUCCACAUCUGUCUUCUAUUGAAAAUACUGCCCUGAACCCCCCAGGCUACUGAGGGGCCCUUCUUCAAGAGCCACUGCCCUACGAGAAAAAAAAAAAUCUUUGUCUCUCCCCUUCUCUCAGAUCUUUGAAUGCAGCAGGCGGCCACCUCUGCCUCAUAAAGGAGUUGUUGUUUACCACUAAGCUCUGCCUAUCUCAGGUUUCAUCCCCUCAGGCUCUGCUGGACUGUCAUCUCCCUGGAGGGAGGGGCUGUGACAUAAAACAAACACAGAUCUGCCAGAGUCACAGACCGGAACACCUACUGCAACACGACACCGCAGCUGAGCCAGGCCGGCCUUUUCACAAACGCAUUCCACAUGGCAGCGUGUCUGUGUUUGUGUACGGAAGAAGCAAAAAUUCUCCCAGACGUGUACAAACAUACCCACACACAGCUGAUCCACAUGUGCACUGUACCGAGUGUUUUCUUCUUUGUGAAGGCAUGCACGUCUUAUUUCCAGACUCGGAGCAGUGCCCACACAGGAACCCGUUAGCAAAACAUUCAGCUCAGCGACCUUAAGGUCAACAGUCUGACCUCAGAGCUGACCUCACCUGGGUUCCUGAUGUUUUAUUAACGCUGCAUUUGCCAGGGUUCCUGCCUCCAUCCUUUCACAGAGGGACAAAGAAUCUAUCAGACUUUAAACAUUUUAGACACACAUUGAGUCAUUAUCUGGUUGCUCUGAGAUUCAAACAUAGUGUUGGUCAGGAUAGUACAUCCUCACAGAUUGUACUGCCACUCCCUGCAAACUCUUUGAGGCGCUAAAAAUAAUUUUGCGGAGAGUAGGCGGUACUUUGGGCUACAAAGUUUUAAACAGGACCUUGUAAUCUGUGCAUCCAUCUCAAAAUAUGUCUCUAAUUUAAUAUUUUGAUCUUCUGUCUGCUUGAAAUGACAGGUUGAAAAUAAAGAUUGAGUACAACUGAUGGUAGAGCAAAAUAUCUGUGAGAGGCACCGUGGGAUCUGUGAGCAAUAACCUAAACAAAAAGGGUGGAUUUGACCAGAUUUCUAUGAACCGAGGUUAGAAAGAUGUGCACAAAUAAAUGAGAAUUUCAGUGCUUAUUUUAAUUAAAAUCUUUCAGGUUCCUCACACUUCACCAAGUCAUGUCUGUAAAAGUGGUAGAGCCUUCCACUUUAUUAAGUACACCUAGCUACUGGGCUGCCUUCAGAACAGCCUUCAUUCUUCAUGGCAAUCAUUCAACAAGUUGAUGGAAACAUUCCUCGGAGAUUUUGCUCCAUACUGA